rnacentral:piRNA from 1 species
UUUGUGGAUGUAUGUGCUUUUACUCUUUAU